GGGGAUGUAGUUCACUGGUAGAGUGCUUGCCUAAUGUGUAUGAGUCCUGGUUUGAUCCCCAGCUCCA
rnacentral:tRNA from 1 species